rnacentral:tRNA from 1 species
UCUCUGGUGGUCCAGUGGUUAGGACUUGGCGCUUUCGCUGCCAGGGCUCAGGUUCGAUCCCUCGUUGGGGAA